rnacentral:rRNA from 1 species
GGCGGGACACGUGGUAUCCUGUCUGAAUAUGGGGGGACCAUCCUCCAAGGCUAAAUACUCCUGACUGACCGAUAGUGAACCAGUACCGUGAGGGAAAGGCGAAAAGAACCCCGGCGAGGGGAGUGAAAAAGAACCUGAAACCGUGUACGUACAAGCAGUGGGAGCACCUUCGGGUGUGACUGCGUACCUUUUGUAUAAUGGGUCAGCGACUUAUAUUCUGUAGCAAGGUUAACCGUAUAGGGGAGCCGCAGGGAAACCGAGUCUUAACUGGGCGUUAAGUUGCAGGGUAUAGACCCGAAACCCGGUGAUCUAGCCAUGGGCAGGUUGAAGGUUGGGUAACACUAACUGGAGGACCGAACCGACUAAUGUUGAAAAAUUAGCGGAUGACUUGUGGCUGGGGGUGAAAGGCCAAUCAAACCGGGAGAUAGCUGGUUCUCC